rnacentral:rRNA from 1 species
AUUGAACGCUGGCGGCAUGCUUUACACAUGCAAGUCGAACGGUAACAGGCCGCAAGGUGCUGACGAGUGGCGAACGGGUGAGUAAUGCAUCGGAACGUGCCCAGUCGUGGGGGAUAACGCAGCGAAAGCUGUGCUAAUACCGCAUACGAUCUAUGGAUGAAAGCGGGGGACCGUAAGGCCUCGCGCGAUUGGAGCGGCCGAUGUCAGAUUAGCUAGUUGGUGGGGUAAAGGCCCACCAAGGCGACGAUCUGUAGCUCGUCUGAGAGGACGACCAGCCACACUGGGACUGAGACACGGCCCAGACUCCUACGGGAGGCAGCAGUGGGGAAUUUUGGACAAUGGGCGCAAGCCUGAUCCAGCAAUGCCGCGUGCAGGAUGAAGGCCUUCGGGUUGUAAACUGCUUUUGUACGGAACGAAACGGUGAGCUCUAAUACAGUUUGCUAAUGACGGUACCGUAAGAAUAAGCACCGGCUAACUACGUGCCAGCAGCCGCAGUAAAAC